AGAGUUGCGUAGGUGGCACUGUUAAGUGGAGCGUGAAAGCGUGCGGCUCAACCGCAUUACUGCGUUCCAAACUGCAGAGCUUGAGUAUGAGAGAGGUAGAUGGAUUUCCCAGUGUAGGAGUGAAAUCCGUAGAUAUUGGGAGGAACACCGAUGGCGUAGGCAGUCUACUGGCUCAUUACUGACACUAAGGCACGAAAGCGUGGGGAGCAAACGGGAUUAGAUACCCCGGUAGUCCACGCCGUAAACUAUGGAUGCUAGCUGUGACACACAUCGACCUGUGUCGUAGCGAAGUUAACGCGUUAAGCAUCCCGCCUGGGGAGUACGGUCGCAAGAUUAAAACUCAAAGGAAUUGACGGGGACCCGCACAAGCGGUGGAGCGUGUUGUUUAAUUCGAUGGUAAGCGAAGAACCUUACCAAGGCUUGAAAUCCCGAUAGCAGUUCAUCGAAAGAAGAACCUCAUUUAGUUGGAUCGGUGACAGGUGAUGCAUGGCCGUCGUCAGCUCGUGUCGUGAGAUGUAUGGUUAAGUCCAUUAACGAGCGCAACCCUUAUGUUUAGUUGGAUUUUUCUAAACAGACUGCCCUGGCAACAGGGAGGAGGGAGGGGAUGACGUCAGGUCAGUAUUUCCCUUACGUCUUGGGCUACAAACACGCUACAAUGGCCGGUACAAAGGGCAGCGAACCCGCGAGGGGAAGCAAAUCUCAUCAAAACCGGUUUCAGUUCGGAUUGCAGGCUGAAACUCGCCUGCAUGAAGCUGGAAU
rnacentral:rRNA from 1 species